rnacentral:rRNA from 1 species
UACGUAGGUGGCAAGCGUUGUCCGGAUUUACUGGGCGUAAAGAGCGCGCAGGCGGUCGUUCAAGUCGCGUGUGAAAGCCCCCGGCUCAACUGGGGAGGGUCACGCGAUACUGAUCGACUCGAAGGCAGGAGAGGGUAGUGGAAUUCCCGGUGUAGUGGUGAAAUGCGUAGAUAUCGGGAGGAACACCAGUGGCGAAGGCGACUACCUGGCCCUAUCCUGACGCUGAGGCGCGAGAGCGUGGGGAGCAAACCGG